rnacentral:lncRNA from 1 species
AGAGGCAGAGAGAGAGAGAGGAGCCACCCUGAGAAGGAAGAGACCAGGUGGGCUCUGAGACAGGGAGACCCUUUCUACGUCGGUGCCUUGACAUGUGACUUUUUUGUCACUUCGUGCUCCAGGAUCACACCUGGAUGAACUAUCACUUUCAAAUGACCUUGUCUUUUCUCGGGCCUUCUGAACUGAUCAUCUCUUCCUUCUGAUACAAGAGGAUCUUCCCUGGAAGACCACUGCACACCUUCUAGUAACACUGCGACCCUGGAUAAUAUUCUACUUUGAAGAACACCAGUAGACCGAAGCAAGAUGACUAAUUUUUAAUGCCAAAGUAUGCAAAACCUGCCACUUCACUGGCAAGCCAUGAAUUAUUCAUAAAUAUAGACUUGGUUAAUAUCUUUAAAAA